rnacentral:rRNA from 1 species
UGGCGCUCGGAGCGGCCGCAAGGUCGCGCCGGCGUGCCGGAAGAUGACCAAACUUGAUCAUUUAGAGGAAGUAAAAGUCGUAACAAGGUUUCCGUAGGUGAACCUGCGGAAGGAUCAUUACCGAACGGUUUUCGUGACCGAAUCUCAGUCCCCAACUGAGUCUGGUUCGUUCCUCCGGGGACGAAUCUUCGAACGUUCCUCUUCCGAGGGGGUCCGGUUCUGGGGGUACCUGCUCCUGUCUUGCACGCCAGUGCGAGAGGGGUGCCUCUUCCGAGGCGCUAGGUUCAAUGAGAGGAUUGUUCGAGCCUCCGCCCCCCCGAGAACCUCUCGGAGCACGUCUCUCGGAGUCGUGGGCUGCGAAGGGCCCCGGGCCUCCCCUGCCAUGGGAGCGUCCACUCCUCGAGGCGUGUUUAAAACUGAAGAAACCUUCGCACUCUUCUCCCCAAGAAGGGUUGGUCUUUUACUCGUGUUUGGUGUUUGAAAGAGACUUUGUUCUCUUUGAAAAGAAUGAGAGUACAACUCUGAGCAGUGGAUCACUUGGCUCACGGGUCGAUGAAGAACGCAGCCAGCUGCGAGACUUGGUGUGAAUUGCAGGACACAUUGAGCACUGAUUUUUCGAACGCACAUUGCGGCCUCGGUUCCUACCCGGGGCCUCGCCUGUCUGAGGGUCGGAUGAGACUUGCCGAAGGGGAACCUGUUCCCCUACUUGGUCGCAUCGGGUUUUUCUUUUGAAAAACUCGUCGACCUAAGAGCAGAUCGAGAGAUCUCCAGUCCCGACGAGUUCGGCGGCCCGCGGCCGUGGAAUUCGCGCGUUCUAGAGACACGGAACCGCCAGCCGUCGGCGUCCCGUCGUUCUCGUCGUGGGACUUGUAAAAUGUCGAC